rnacentral:tRNA from 1 species
GCUGGGAGUAGCUAAGUGGUAGAGCACCUCGCCUAGCAUGCCCUAGGCCCUGGGUUUGAUCCCCAGCACAGCA